UGAGAAAACUGAAAAUUAACCUACUUUAUACUCUGAGACAUGUUAUCUUCUCAUAAUAUGAGUAAAAUUAUUUCAAUAUCUAGGAAAGCUGUUUAAAAUUGCCCAAUAUCUAAAGAAGUAUUCCUUAUGUCACUGUUUUAAAAUAGACAUUCAAAAUAAUUAAACUGCUACGAUAUUAAAUGCUAAAGACAACAAGAAUGUGAAGGACAAACUUCCGUAGGUGAGUAAGCUCAGAAAACUCGUAAUAGUUUUUCUUAUUUCUUAAGAGGACAUAUUUGGAUUAAAAAACAAGGUAUAGCUGGUUUCUCUUCUGCAUUUUUAUGUGAGAUCUUAAACUAUAUCUCCACAGGUUUACUGGAUUUCAUGUUUUAAUAUUUUUUCUCUUUGAUUAAAAAAAUUUCAAUAUCAAAAUCUAUUGUGAAUAUGCUAUUAAAAUUUAAAACAAAAGUAUUUUCACCUCUGAGUCACAUACUAUGUAAUAGAGUUAUAGACAGGUUAAUGACUAUUUCAAUCUGUGUAAAGUGUGCAAUGAUCAUGCCUAAAAGUCACUUCAGAAAAUUAGAGAAACAUGACAAUGUAGAAGGGACAGCAAAAACACUACACAUUUGAAUAUAAAGUAGAAUUCAUAAUAAAAUGCAUUUGAAUACUUGUAUAAUUACUCAAAAGCAUACUGGACCCUGUUUUUUACCAAAGCAUUAUAAAAAAAAUUAACUGAAAUUGACAGUGAAUUGUUUUAAGUAGCACUUCCAAGAUUUUAUUUACAUACUACUUUCUUCUCCCUUAAUGAUGUCUCUCCACCACCAAUAUACAGGUCUUACCUAUCAUUUCUAUACAUUUUCCAUUCAAAUACUAUUCAAUAAACUUUAAAAGCAUGUAUAUGGCAACAACUAGCUCUAAAGAUAACCCUACAAAAUCCUUUCAGGCCUUUAGAUAUGUAACAUAUCACCAUCCAUAACAUUUUUUAUCAAUCAAAAAAUCAGGUUAUAAAAUGUAUUUUGGCAGCAGAGGGACUUCACUUGUUCCAUAACUGUCUAAAGAUUGUCUUGCUACUAGCCACGGUAAUUUUUUUCCUCUUUCCUUUUUUCUCUGCAGUGCUUCUAAGUAUAGUGACAGUGCAUCAGGCUUUCCUAGUCUCAGCGCAAGCUCAGUGAAAAUCUGGGAAAUGUAAGUGGAAACAUGAGAGACCGCUUUAUUUGGCAGUGCUUACCCCCCACCCCAAAAAAAAAGUGGGGGGCAGGACAAAUGGCUAAGCAGUGUUUGGACCGCAGGAUGAACAAUCAAUAGGCAGAAAGCAAGAUUGAGGCUUCCUCAGCUUUUGGAUCGACAAUCGACAGCUGAGAGGCUAUUUUUUGCUAUGGUUGACUAAAUAUGGUCAGGGAAGAGAGAGGCACAAGACAGCCUGUUUGCCUGGGAGUGCAUGUUUCAAAUGCUUAGCUGCCUAUAAAGCUGUAACAGUUUAGCCAGUGGUCACUGAGGAAGAAUAUAAGUUAGCCUCGUAGUGACCAUGUGGAAGUUCUGACCUCGCUUGCAGACUUGACCUCUGGAUGUGACAAGGUAGCUUCACUACAGCUCUACUAUUUAAUCCUGGAAACUAAAAACCAAAAAAAAAAAAAAAAAAAAAAUCUAAAAGCAAGAAAGAUGCAGACUAUUUCCUAAGAAGUCAGAAGAACCCAAUGUAUUCUGGAGGGCAAAGAAAAACAGGGUGAAUGUUUACAGUUAUUUGGGGGGAGUAAGGUGUGUUUUGGGUUCUGUUUUUGUUUUGUUUUUUUUGUCUUUUUUAGACUAUAAAAUUAACUUCUGCAACUUUUUCCCCUCUUCUGAAGCAUUUCAUCUGACAAGCUAGGUUCAUUUUCUUGGCCUUCGUAGCAACCUUUUUUGAUUGCUUAACUUUCCCUACAUAACUGUGCAAGACUGUUAUAUGACAUUCCAAAUCAAAUGGCCAACACUGAUUCAAUUUUAGAGUUUUUUUUGUUGGUGGUUUUUGUUUUUGUUUUUGUUUUUGGUAAAGGGAAGAGGGGAGGAGAGGGAAAAGUAAGCUUGUUUUUUGUUUGCUCGUUUGUUUUUCAAAUUUAUCUUAAAAGGUAAGGUUCUGUGUUCACUGAUACAUCCCCUUCCUUCACCGGGCUCAUGAAAAGAAAUGCUGAAUCAGCAAAUAGAGUGAACGAACAAUCAAGAUGAGAUGGCUGCUGCUGAUGUGAUUCUCUAGGUUACUACCUUUCUUCCUGCUGCAAAUGCUGCAUGACACUAAGCUUACAGGAUCUAGAAGCAGACUACAAAGAAAGAAGAAAUUCACUCUGAAGACUGAAGAAACACUAGGCUGAUCUUAAGUUUCCGAAAUACACUCUGUAACACUACACUGAUUCUAUGAACCUCUUGCAAAAAGAAUCAAACCAGGACAAAGUUCAACAGAUAACUGGUCAAAUGUUUAGGAAUGUCUAUGUCCACCAAGAAUAUGGAACCAUUAAUGCCAUGCUUCAGGUAAACUUGUUACAAAAUUUAGUCUUCGAUAAAUUAGUCUCUGCAAAUGAUUUACCAUUGCUCUAUAUUAGUAAGCUGAAUGUUUCACUAACAAAUAAGAAAAUAUUUCAUGUUUUUACAGCUAACAACUUAGUAAUACCUACUCAGAGUACAUACUUCUUUAUGUACCCAUAUGAACAUACAAUGCUAUGGAAUGUAAAGAAGUAUGUAUUUUUGGUAGGCAAUAAACCACCAAGAGAGAAUUAAACUGAGCUAAAAGAAGCUCUUGCUUCUUUCUACGUGAAUGACCUUCAUAUGGUAAAUUAACCUAGUCAUGAACAGAUGACCUUUGGCAAUACUAACACCAAAAAAAAAAAAGGUUA